UCAGUUCGGAUUGAAGUCUGAAAUUCGACUUCAUGAAGCUGGAAUUGCUAGUAAUCGCGGAUCAGCAAGCCGCGGUGAAUACGUUCCCGGGCCUUGUACACACCGCCCGUCACACCAUGAGAGUCGGGAACACCCGAAGUCCGUAGUCUAACCGCAAGGGGGCGCGGCCGAAGGUGGGUCCGGUAAUUGGGGUGAAGUCGUAACAAGGUAAC
rnacentral:rRNA from 1 species